UAGCUUUCAAGCCACUCUUCUCUACAGAUACCCAAGCCCAAGCACCUGAGCACUGUCUUUCCCAUGCAGUAAUCAGAUAUUCCAUGGCAUGUCACUGAGCCCAGGUGUGUGCCCACUAGUGACACAGUGACACAUGGGAGGACAGAUAUGGAGAAGGGCCUGGAAGUAUUCUCCCAUUUGGGCAGACUAUUCUGGGGUCUGGAUUAUCUGGAGCAUGGUCUAGAAAGGGGAGCAAGUCUCCAGGUGGGCAUGUUCCCUUGUGCCCAUGGCUGUCUUGCUCCAUAGAGAGGAGUGGUUCCAGAAGAAAGCCAGAGCAAGAUCUCCAAUGUGAGAUCUAGAACAAGAGGUCCCUCCUGGCAGUGUCUAAGGAAGGAACUGGGAGGAGAAAUGAGACUGAAAAAUGAUUUCCUGGGAAAGACAGUAGAGAUGAGAAUAAGAGAGGUGUGGCCAUAGCAUCUGUUCCCAAACAGCCUGAGAUAUCUGAACCUCAAAUGAAAGAGCAGUUAAGGAAGAAAGGCUGAGCAACUGUGUUCACAAAAACAUUUGGGAGGUUCUGGGAAAAGACACAUGCCUUUCCAACUCCCAAGAACAUAGGAAGACCCAAUGCCAUUAAAACGGCUAGGCUUGACCUUGACCUUAGACCAUGUACAGUUUCAGUUGGCUAGAUGGCCACUAACAGAGAACAGAGUAGUCUUCCCUUAUCACCAUGUUCAAGGUCAGAACAACAGCAGCGGCACCCUGACAAAACAGCUCAGUGGGCUCCCAGAUCAGCCUUCCUUUCUUGAAAAGUAGGAACGAAGAAAAUGUGUUCUUAAAAUGAAUCAAAGUCUGUGGAGCUGUGCAAAGGAUGUUAAUUGACUCAGGACAGAAUCCAGAUUUGAGAUCGUGAAGAAGGGAAGAGUCAAGCUGAAGGAAGGAAAAGUUCUCCCUGGGAGUGACAUAUAACCAUCCUCUCCUUUACUAACUACUUAUGGACACAGGAUAGAAAAUAUUUAUACUAUUUUUGCAUAUUUUAAAGGUUUAAACAUCAGCAAAGUGAAAACAACUGACCUCAAAACGUGAUCUAACCCAAAGUAGUCUCAAAUCUCCCGUAAACAUUUUUGCAACACAAAGUUUCCAUGUCGUGGGAUUGAAGGGACUUCAGUGGUGGGCAGUAAAAGGAAAAACAGGCUUCUGUGUAUCACAACUCAGUUGAGUUUAAAGCUCCAUUAGCAGUGGCAUAUGGAGGAAAGCAGGAGCCUUGCAAAUUUAUUCUGUAACCAACUGUAGAGUUAGCAAGGGCUUAUAGCCAAAAUGAGAGCAACUAAAGCAAAUAGUAUCUAAUGACUGAGGAAAAGAAGCCCUUCCCAUGUCUAUGAGUUUUUAAAAAGUUCUAAUAAUGCAUUGGUACAAGUCCCCCAGAAGGCUGAAGGAUUAAAGAAACCCAAGUGAUUGCAAUCAGAGCUACGUUCUGGAAUUUAUUUUCUGACUGUGGGAGAAACUGCUGAGAUGUAGCCUUGUCAGCCUGAGUCCCUGGGUAUCUACAAUGAGCAGAGAUCCCCUACUGUCUCACCCUGGAUAUGUACUCCAAGAACUUCUGGAUGAGCUUGCUCCUGAGCCAUAAACAAGUUCAUCUUGACUGACUCAGCAAGAAAAGAUUAAUAGGAGUGUGAUGUAUUCAUUUCAUAAUAUCUUUUUAAACUAUAGAGAGCUAAGCAAAGUUUUGCAAACACAAAAUUUUAGUACUAUGGGAUAUCAGUGAGAAGUACAUAGCGGGGAGUGGACCUGAUAAUAUUGUAGACAAGAACCAAAUGGGUGCAGAAGGUAACGGAAAAGAAAAGAGUGGAAAUAAAGAUGGCUUGGAUGUUUUACACCUAGCAGAUAAAUUGUAAUGCCAUUUAUUUAGAGAAUACUUGAGAGCAGAGGGAACAAGUUAAGAAUAUUUAUUUUUGCCCUGAGGCCAUUAGCUGUAUCUAGCUGAUGUCUGAAAAUGAAAGUCUGAAAUUCAAGAGGGAGGUCAGGGAUAUAGAGAAGAGAAAGCAGUCUCACAUGUACUAUGAACUGGUAAUUCUUCUAAGUCUUUUACAUAUAAUAUCUCCUAUAAUGAUUAUAAUUUUACCAUUCCACUGGAAGAAAUGAGGCACUCUAAGAGAUUAAGCUACCCAGAUUUGGCGGUACUAUCCAUAAAGGAACAAAUAAAGCCUGAGAGAUAUUAUAGAGGAAACAGACAAGGAGACAAGGAAGACUAUAUUCAGGGUCAGGCAAAAGAAACAGGACACUAAAUAGGAACAGACAUUUUUACAACCAAGUGACAGAGAAUAGGUGUAGAGGACUACGUACUCGCAAACAAGACGUUCCCGAUAAGUCCUGCUCUUGCAAAUGAAGCAGGGCAUUCCUUCCCUGCAAACAGGGAGGACAAA